UACGGAGGGAGCUAGCGUUGUUCGGAAUUACUGGGCGUAAAGCGCACGUAGUCGGCUUUGCAAGUCGGUUGUGAAAUCCCCGGGCUCAACCUGGGAACUGCAUCCGAGACUGCAUUGCUGGAGUACGGAAGAGGAAGGCGGAAUUCCCGGUGUAGCGGUGAAAUGCGUAGAUAUCGGGAGGAACAUCAGUGGCGAAGGCGGCCUUCUGGUCCAGUACUGACACUCAAGUGCGAAAGCGUGGGGAGCAAACAGG
rnacentral:rRNA from 1 species